UGGGGAAUUUUGGACAAUGGGGGAAACCCUGAUCCAGCCAUCCCGCGUGUGCGAUGAAGGCCUUCGGGUUGUAAAGCACUUUUGGCAGGAAAGAAACGUCAUGGGUUAAUACCCCGUGAAACUGACGGUACCUGCAGAAUAAGCACCGGCUAACUACGUGCCAGCAGCCGCGGUAAUACGUAGGGUGCAAGCGUUAAUCGGAAUUACUGGGCGUAAAGCGUGCGCAGGCGGUUCGGAAAGAAAGAUGUGAAAUCCCAGGGCUCAACUUUGGAACUGCGUUUUUAACUACCGGGCUAGAGUGUGUCAGAGGGAGGUGGAAUUCCGCGUGUAGCAGUGCAAUGCGUAGAUAUGCGGAGGAACACCGAUGGCGAAGGCAGCCUCCUGGGAUAACACUGACGCUCAUGCACGAAAGCGUGGGGAGCAAACAGG
rnacentral:rRNA from 1 species